rnacentral:lncRNA from 1 species
UUGUAGAUUUUUGCUUGAGGAUGAUAUUUGUUGCUAUGGAUGUAUAAGAAAGAUUAUUGCAAAUUGUAGAGAAUUGGAUGCAUAUAAAGCUUGUGAAUUUUUAAAGAAAUAUAGAAUUAAAUUAUUAUUGAUUAUUAUUUAUAAUCCAGAAGAAAAUGCAAAGAGUAAACAUGGACAUCUAUCAAUUGUAAAAGCUUUGGUUAAAACUUGCAAUAGAAGAGUGAAGGAAUGGCCUCAACUUUUAUCUUAUGCAUUAUGAGUUGAUCAAACUAUACAUAGUUCAAUGAUAGAAUAUACACCAAUGAAACUCAUGACAAGUCAAAAACCUAUUAUGCCAAUUGAAGAACAUAUGUCAAGUUGGAGUGUGCUACAUUAGGAAGAUGAAUUGACAAGAGAAGAGUUGUUGGCUAUUACAUUUUGACAACUUGAACUGUUUAUGAGACAGGAUCAAAAUCAGAUUUUUAGCCAUUAAAAUAAUUGCUUAAAAUAAAGUAUGGAGAAAUUUGUAAAUUAAUAAUUAAGAUUACAGGACUAACUUAAAGCUUCUUCUAAAGAUAUAAAUAUUAUUUUUAUAAGCUUUGAAAUGAAUUUGCAAUUAUUGUUCAAAAUCAUAGUUUGUAUUGGUGACUUUGGAUUUAUGCAAUAAAAUCAGGGUUAGAAUUUUUACCUACUUUACGCAAUUGAUGUCACAUCUAUGGUUCAAAAUUUAAAAGUACUUGAUUAAUUAGGUAUAUUAAGUAUGUAUAAAAUUUUAUAUUAAUCUAUCAAUGUGGUUGAAAGAUAUCUGAUUUUUUUAUAUAAAUCAAUAUCAAAAAUUGGCAAGUUGAAGUUAGAUAGGAUUUUUAUGGUAUCUCAAGCUAUAUUCGUCAAAAUAAGAUGAAAUUUGGCAUAAUGUUAGAAGACUUGAAGAUUAAGCUAUAUAUCAAUUUUGAAUUAAAGUUAAUAAUUGAAGAAAGAAAAAUUGCUAUUGAAACAUCUGUAUUAACUUUCAAGUUGAUAGCCAAGUGACAUCUAUGCAAUUUUUUUUUAUAUUUCUUAUAAUCUGAGAGGCCAAAUUUCACCACUUGAUGAAACCUAUGCCACAUAACAAGUCCAAGAGGUGGAAUUGGAGAGCUACGAAUUGUGUAAUUAUUAGAUUAAUUUAAAUCUUUAUAUUAAAAAUUUAAUUAAUUUUAGGCCUUCCAAGCAAUGGUUACCAACAUUAAAUUAACAUGUUAAAUAAAAUUUACUAUGCAAACAUAAUAAAAAUAAUUAACUAAGUUAUUACUAUUAAUUGACCAUAAGAAUAAAAAUUUAAUUUUGAACUAAAAGCUAAGUUAAAAAUUAAGUUACAAAAAAGUUACUGUUAAAAAUUAAUAUUAAAAAAUUAUGUUAAAAUUUAAAAUUAAAAUGUUAAGUUAAAAGUUAAAAUUAAAAGGUUAAGUCAAAAAAAGUAAUUUAAAAGUUAAAAUUAAAGGUUAAGUGAAAAAUUAAAGUUAAAAGUUAAAAGUUAAACUUAAAAUUUAUUAGCCAAAUAGUGAAAUGUCGAGCUUACAAUUCACUGUGAAGACGAUAGUAAAAAUAAAGUGAGAGGUAAAAGCGAAGAUACCUUGACAACAUGUAAGGGUUGAAGGCAGGAACCCCCUUCUACUCCAAAAUUUGCCAAAAUUUGUAAUCGGCUUCAAUUGGAAUGAUUCUUAGCUUGUUGCAAGGCUGACUUGAAGACGCUUUUGAUCCAACAAUUCUUGUUGCAAUCUAAUGAUCCAAUCAUGAGAAUUCCUCCUUUGAAGUUGAGUGAUCCAAACUGCUGUGGUGACUAACCCUCUUCACUUAGAGAUUCACUAAAAAUUCAGAUUGUAUUAAAAUUCACCAAAUCUUAUGCUUUUCAGAGCUUAGCUUAUAAAUCUUGAUUCUCCCAAAAUUUCAAAUAAAUCCAAUCACUAGGCACAGAGAAAUACCUUUCCAAACUUGAUUGAUUCAAACUGCAAAGGCAAUCGACUCCCUCAAACUCAAAAAUUCACAAAAAAUUCCUUCUUAUUCCAAAUCAAGAAAAUCUUAUCUUUUUGGAAAGCUAACAACAAAAGCUACAACUAUUCAAAAUCUCACAUUGAGACAAUAGAAAUUGAGUGACUGACUAAAGAAAAUCCGAGGCCCCUGAAACCCUUGGGGUAUUUGAAAGGCUGAGGAGAUAUCUACCUCAAUGAAACAUAUUUUAAAACUUAAUGACCAUCCUUCACAAUACAAAAUCCAUACAUACACAAUCACAAGGUUCACAAUGAGAAUUAAAAUCUAAAUAAAAUUGAAAUUAGGGUUUCGGCCAAAUUUUGGCAUGGCUCCGCCCUUCACCCAAAAGA